AACAAGGCGUACCUGCGGACCUGCGGAGGGAUCAUUAACGAGCGUAACCUACCCUUUUAAAAAAUGGGUGGUACCUCCCGUCCUUUGCGGGCCCCCUUCUUUUAUUAAGGGGGGGGCUUUUAAGACUUUCUGCUUCGGCGGGGUUAUUCCCGCCGGAACACCUUCAAAAAACUCUUGAUCAAAAAACUGUUCAGUCCGAGAAUUUUUGAAAAUUAAAACAAAACUUUCAACAACGGAUCU
rnacentral:misc_RNA from 1 species